rnacentral:rRNA from 1 species
ACAUAAGUUACUAAGGGCUUAUGGUGGAUGCCUUGGCACUAGAAGGCGAUGAAGGACGUGCAAACCUGCGAAAAGCUACGGGGAGCUGGUUGGAAGCGAUAAUCCGUAGAUGUCCGAAU